AACGUUAUGAAAACAACGUUUGAUAAACGUUAGAAAUGUUUACUAAAAUAAACGUUAGAAAGGUUGGUACAGUAUGGAAUUUUUACAGUACCUACCCAGUCAACAAACUAAGUGAAAAUGUUAAAAGUGAAAAUCGAACAUUUUUUUCAGAAGGUGUCUCCUCCCCCCCUCACCGGUGUAACUUAAUCCCUAAUAAUGUCUCAAUUUAGGCUUUCUGACCAACAAUUCUUAAGUGGAAUUGAAUUUUAACCCCUUUCUAUCUUCUUCAAAAAUCGUCUCCAACACACUAUCAAGAUAAAAAUAAUGUUUUGCACCAAUUAAGACUGAAAUUUUUUUUGAGUUUUCCAAAAAUGUCUCACUUCAGGCUUUUUGUUGAUCAAUUCGGGUGCAGAAUUGCAAUUCAAACACUUUUGGUCUUUUGCGAAAAUCGUCUACAACGCACUGUUAACGAUAUAAUUGACUGUUAGCGAUAAUCCAGAGGGACUUAGAAUAAAUUUGCCAGAUGUUUAAGUUUCCCAAAAAAGUCAAAAAAUUGUAUUUCUGAUCAAUAACUCGGAUGCAGAAUUGAAUUUCAAACACUUUUUGUCUCUUGUGAAAAUCGUCUACAACGCACUGUUGAUGAUAUAAUAGACCUUUUGCGCUAAUUUUAAUAUAGAUAGGGACUUUGAAAUAAAUUUGACUGAUUUUCAAGUUUCCCAAAAAUGUUCAAAAAACAGUCUUUCAUGACUAAUUCGGCUGUAGAAGUGAAUUUCCAGCAUUUUUUCUGUAUGCAAAAAUCCCGUCAAACGUGCCGUUGACGGGCUACUGACGUUUAAAAUUUUGAAAUUAUGCUAAUUGAUGAUGGAAAAUUCUGAAAAAAAUCAUGUACGUUUCUGUUUAUAUUAUCAACAUUGUCCUAAAAUCUCAAAUGAUUCUAUCCAAAAUUGAAUAAGUUAUAUCAUUUUUUCCAAUUGGAUUUUUGUUUAUGCUCGAAAUCAUGCCAUUUAUAAAAUAACACACCAAGACUUUGAAAUCAUUUUCAGGUUUUCAAUUCGAAAUAUGAUAAUCACUUUUAUUAUAUUGAUUCCAACAAUUUAAAGUGUCAAUCAACAAGCCACUCAUGUGGCUUCACUUAAAUUAUGCUUAAUAUUAUGUAAAUUAUUCUAAAAACACGGAAUCUAUGAAUUAUUCUGCAAUAUUCAAAUAUCGCGCAAAAUUGUAUUCAAGCAUGCGCAAUGAAACAACUCAACUCGAAGAAAAUAACCUCCAUUUUAUAGCUGUGUUUUAUAGAUGUGUUGUGUUCAGUUCAUCUUGUAAUUUUUGUGAUCUCUAUCCGUUGAAUGAUUGAAAGGUGCAGUGUGGAACAUCAAGUCUACUUCCAGUGCCCCAAAUGAAGAAAUCCAGAUAAUAAUCCGAAAUUGGUUUUGAUUCUCCAAAGACCGUGAUGGAGGUC